GACGCCGACCGACGGGUCGGACGGCCGGCUGCAACCCGGACGGCGUGGGUUCAACUCCCGCCGGCGUCU
rnacentral:tRNA from 1 species